UACGAAGGGGGCUAGCGUUGCUCGGAAUCACUGGGCGUGAAGCGCACGUAGGCGGAUCUUUAAGUCAGGGGUGAAAUCCUGGAGCUCAACUCCAGAACUGCCUUUGAUACUGGCAGUCUCGAGUGCGGGAGAGGUGAGUGGAAUUCCCAGUGUAGAGGUGAAAUUCGUAGAUAUUGGGAAGAACACCAGUGGCGAAGGCGGCUCACUGGCCCGUAACUGACGCUGAGGUGCGAAAGCGUGGGGAGCAAACAGG
rnacentral:rRNA from 1 species